rnacentral:rRNA from 1 species
UACGGAGGAUGCAAGCGUUAUCCGGAUUUAUUGGGCGUAAAGCGUCCGCAGGUGGUUGUUCAAGUCUGCUGUUAAAGCGCGAGGCUUAACCUCGUACAGGCAGUGGAAACUGAGCGACUUGAGUAUGGUAGGGGUAGCGGGAAUUCCCAGUGUAGCGGUGAAAUGCGUAGAUAUUGGGAAGAACACCAGCGGCGAAAGCGCGCUACUGGGCCAUAACUGACACUCAGGGACGAAAGCUAGGGGAGCGAAUGGG